GGGAACCCUGGGAAAGUGUGAUCAGAGAGUCUUCAAAAGCCCAGUCAUGAAGAGCCGUAGAUUUGCCUAGAAUUGUGGAGGCAGACGCUGUCCAACAAAGUCAUGUGGAUCACUUGUCCCACAAAGACACACAGGGCUCUUACUUCAUCACCAAACUCAUUACCUGCUUCCAGACAUGUUCCUGUUCUUGUCAUCUCUUGGAUAUAUUUCAGAAGAAGCAAGAAACAAUAGAAGAUUAUCAGCUUAAAGAAGUGAUUUUGGCCAAGGAUCAUGUUGUGUACCUACUGUUCAGAAACAGGGAAGCCGAGAAAAGAAUAAUUGGGAAUUCAAGGCCAGCCUGAGUAAACACUCUUCGCCAAAAGAGAACAUGCAUUGAAUUGUGCACGUAAAA